rnacentral:pre_miRNA from 1 species
GUGUAUUUGUGUGUGGAUAGUGUUCAGCACCAAGGACAUAUGUAUUUGCCUGUGUGUGAAUGAUAUUCAGCACCAAGGACAGGUGUGUUUACCU